UUGUACAAUUACUCCAGGGGGUCCCUUGAGAGGAGAAGGCAAGAACAAAAACCACAACAUUCAGCGUUUGUCCCUGGAGGGCAUCUGCCAGAAAGGACCAACUCUCAUCCACACAAACAACAAAGCAACCAAAGUGGCAGACAGAGUAUAAUAUACCAGAAUCUUGCAGGUCUGAUUGUGAUUGCUCCAACACUGGAAUUUUUUAAGAAGAGAUUGGACAUCCAUUUGUUUGAAAUGGUGUAGGGCUCCUAUGCAAAUACCUUUCCUUUUGACACUGAAAUGUCUUCAGAGAAUCACAAAAUGAGUUCUCUAUAUUCUGGGACAAAAUCACUGAGGCAGAAACAGGAUGAAAUGAACAUGGCAAACCUCAAAUAUAUUAUUACUCCAUAUUUAGUGUGGUUUCAACAUCAUUCACUUAUUGGUUUCUAACUAGUCUGCUCUGGUUUCCUGCAGGUUCUUUUUCUUCCAAAGCCAGAGGAUGUCUCAAAAUGUCUUCCCUUUUCUCUUCAUGGAUUCAUUUCAGAAGGAUUCCUGGGAUUUUUUUCCACAAGAAGCCAUAUUUUUCAUUAAAUGUUUUGAAUUGUAUAGAAUUUGCUCUCCUGCUGUUUUUCCCAAAUCAAGUUCUAUUUUGAGAAGAUCUGCCAGAUACAGCAAAGUAUCUGUGAAAAAAAGGCCCCCAUUUUGGAACAAUGGAUUUGCUUAGCAACCAAAAGAUUCUCUUAUCAAUCACUGAAAAGAAGGGUUGAACUUUUGUGGUUGCCUCCAUUUAUGGCAGCACUGACUAGCAAGCAAAAUUCCAAUCCACAAGUCGAGGACUGCUUGCAUCCAGACACACUCUAUCAUUAUUCUCAACUAAAUUUCAGUACAAUUCUGGACUUCAUCUAAUAUUUAUACAGGUCCCAGCAGGAUUUAUGCAAAGUCAGCAAGACUUUCACUUCCUAUUUAAACUCUCAAAUCUGCUUCUUCAGGCUCAACUCAAGGUGCAAAUCUCAUCCCUCCAAACUUCUUCAGAAUGACACCCAACUUUUUAAUUCUCAUCAUGUUGGCUGCCUUCUCCAAAGGUGGCCUCUCCCAAGUAGCUCUGACCCAGUCAGAUCCAGUGCUGAAGAAACCAGGAGAAUCCCAUAAACUGACUUGCACUGCCACUGGAUUCAACGUUAACAGCUACUAUAUGGGAUGGAUCAGGCAGAGACCUGGCCAAGGACUGGAAUGGCUUGUUUACUACUACACAUCUAGUAGCAACUAUUAUUCUCCAACAAUCCAAGGGCGUUUUACUGCCUCCAAGGACAGUUCCAACUUCUAUCUGCAAAUGAACAACCUAAAAGCUGAGGACACAGCUGUCUAUUACUGUGCAAGAGACACAGUAUCUCUGACCCAGUCAGACUCAGUGCUGAAGAAACCAGGAGUAUCCCAUAAACUCAUUUGUGCUGUCGCUGGAUUCAACAUUAACCACAAGAAUAUGUAUUGGGUCAGAAAGAAACCUGGCCAAGGACUGGAAUUGCUUGUUUACUAUUACUCAUCUAGUGACAACUCUUAUUCGCCAACAAUCCAAGGAUAUUUUAAUGCCUCCAAGAACAAUUUCAACUUCUAUCUUCAAACGAACAAGCUAAAAGCUGUAUACACGGCUGUCUAUUAUUGUGCAAGACACACAGUGAAAUAG